rnacentral:rRNA from 1 species
GACGAACGCUGGCGGCGUGCCUAAUACAUGCAAGUCGAACGCAGUGGGACGGGUGAGUAACACGUGGGUAACCUCCCAUCAGAGGGGAUAACACUUGGAAACAGGUGCUAAACCGAUACUGAUGGAUGAACCCGCGGUGCAUGAGCUAGUUGGUGAGGUAACGGCUCACCAAGGCCACGAUGCAUCGCCGGCCUGAGCGGGUGACCGGCCACACGGGGACUGAGACACGGCCCUGACUCCUACGGGAGGCAGCAGUAGGGAAUCUUCGGCAAUUGACGAAAGUCUGACCGAGCAACGCCGCGGGAGGGAAGAAGGUUUUCGGAUCGUAAAACUCUGUUGUCAGAGAAGCGUUAUCUAACCAGAAAGCCACGGCUAACUACGUGCCAGCAGCCGCGGUAAUUC